rnacentral:rRNA from 1 species
AACGCGAAGAACCUUACCCAGAUUUGACAUGUAUUGGAAUUAUUCAGAAAUGAAUAAGCCCUUCGGGGCCGAUACACAGGUGCUGCAUGGCUGUCGUCAGCUCGUGCCGUGAGGUGUUGGGUUAAGUCCCGCAACGAGCGCAACCCUUAUCGUUAGUUGCCAACAGGUAAUGCUGGGAACUCUAGCGAGACUGCCUGGGUUAACCAGGAGGAAGGUGAGGAUGACGUCAAGUCCGCAUGGCCCUUAUAUCUGGGGCUACACACGUGCUACAAUGGUCGGUACAGAAGGCAGCGAAACCGCGAGGUGAAGCAAAUCCAAAAAGCCGACCCCAGUUCAGAUUGUAGUCUGCAACUCGACUACAUGAAGACGGAAUUGCUAGUAAUGGCGAGUCAGCAACAUCGCCGUGAAUACGUUCCCGGGCCUUGUA